rnacentral:ribozyme from 1 species
AAGAAGAGAAAGAAGAAAAACAAGAGAAAGAGAAAAGAAUACUUUAUCGACAUCGUUAUCCUUUUCUUGCUCUCUUUCUCUUUCUUCUUGGUUUUCUUUUUAUCUAUUUUGUUUGGCC